rnacentral:misc_RNA from 1 species
AAGUCGUAACAAGGUAACCGUAGGUGAACCUGCGGUUGGAUCAUUAACAAUGGUUUUCAAACCUUUAUUCUGUGCACUGUAUUGUUCUUGGUGUUUUCCGCCUCUUUCUUUGGAGAGGAGCGGAGGCACCGACAUUUUUAAACCAUGUAUUGUAUCGAGUCUUGAAUUUGUAUUAAAAUGAAAAACUUUUGACAACGGAUCUCUUGGCUCUC